UGGUGGAGCGAUUUGUCUGGUUAAUUCCGAUAACGAACGAGACUCUAGCCUGCUAAAUAGACGGGCGAUCCCAUUGUGGGUCGACCCGAUCAGCUUCUUAGAGGGACAAGUGGCGUUCCUAGCCACGCGAAAUUGAGCAAUAACA
rnacentral:rRNA from 1 species